GACGAACGCUGGCGGCGUGCUUAACACAUGCAAGUCGAACGGAAAGGCCCUGCUUUUGUGGGGUGCUCGAGUGGCGAACGGGUGAGUAACACGUGAGUAACCUGCCCUUGACUUUGGGAUAACUUCAGGAAACUGGGGCUAAUACCGGAUAGGAGCUCCUGCUGCAUGGUGGGGGUUGGAAAGUUUCGGCGGUUGGGGAUGGACUCGCGGCUUAUCAGCUUGUUGGUGGGGUAGUGGCUUACCAAGGCUUUGACGGGUAGCCGGCCUGAGAGGGCGACCGGCCACAUUGGGACUGAGAUACGGCCCAGACUCCUACGGGAGGCAGCAGUGGGGAAUAUUGCACAAUGGGCGGAAGCCUGGUGCAGCAACGCCGCGUGCGGGAUGACGGCCUUCGGGUUGUAAACCGCUUUCGCCUGUGACGAAGCGUGAGUGACGGUAAUGGGUAAAGAAGCACCGGCUAACUACGUG
rnacentral:rRNA from 1 species